rnacentral:tRNA from 2 species
GUGGCAAAUAGCUCAACGGUAGAGCGCCGUUUGCCUGAAAAGGACGAAAGAAUUGAGGGUUAUCGCUUUUAACGAUUACCCCCCUUGAUUCGCUGGAGAUGCGGGUUCAAAUCCCGCUUUGCUACACCA